rnacentral:rRNA from 1 species
UACGGGGGGCAAGCGUUGUUCGGAAUUACUGGGCGUAAAGGGCUCGUAGGUGGCCAACUAAGUCAGACGUGAAAUCCCUCGGCUUAACCGGGGAACUGCGUCUGAUACUGGAUGGCUUGAGUUUGGGAGAGGGAUGCGGAAUUCCAGGUGUAGCGGUGAAAUGCGUAGAUAUCUGAAGGAACGCCGGUGGCGAAAGCGAGCUGCUGGACCUCUUCUGACGCUGAGGCGCGAAAGCUAGGGGAGCAAACGGG